CUGCAUGGCUGUCGUCAGCUCGUGUCGUGAGAUGUUGGGUUAAGUCCGUAACCGAGCGCAACCCUUGUCCUUAGUUACCAGCACGUUAUGGUGGGCACUCUAAGGAGACUGCCGGUGACAAACCGGAGGAAGGUGGGGAUGACGUCAAGUCACCAUGGCCCUUACGGCCUGGGCUACACACGUGCUACAAUGGUCGGUACAAAGGGUUGCCAAGCCGCGAGGUGGAGCUAAUCCCAUAAAACCGAUCGUAGUCCGGAUCGCAGUCUGCAACUCGACUGCGUGAAGUCGGAAUCGCUAGUAAUCGUGAAUCAGAAUGUCACGGUGAAUACGUUCCCGGGCCUU
rnacentral:rRNA from 1 species